GCGCCUUGUGGCGUAGGGCAUCGCCCUCUCACGGCGGUAACAGGGGUUCGAAUCCCCUAGGGGACGCCA
rnacentral:tRNA from 1 species